rnacentral:rRNA from 1 species
GAUGAACGCUGGCGGUAUGCCUAACACAUGCAAGUCGUACGAGAGUUUUUAACUCUAGUGGCGGACGGGUGAGUAACACGUGAGAAUUUGCCUUUAGGAGGGGGACAACAAUUGGAAACGAAUGCUAAUACCCCAUAUGCUUUCGAGUGAAAUGGAUUUUAUCCGCCUAGAGAGAAGCUCGCGGCUGAUUAGCUUGUUGGUAAGGUAAGAGCUUACCAAGGCGACGAUCAGUAUCUGGUUUGAGAGGACGAUCAGACACACUGGAACUGAGACACGGUCCAGACUCCUACGGGAGGCAGCAGUGGGGAAUUUUCCGCAAUGGGCGAAAAGCCUGACGGAGCAAUACCGCGUGAGGGAAGACUGCCUAUGGGUUGUAAAACCUCUUUUUUCAGGGAGGGAAUAAAAAUAGACGU